CUCUGGUCUCCAAUAUAUUGGCGAAUUCGGUUAUUUGUACUUAAUUUAUUAGCAUGAUUUCUUUUUUAAUAUGUUGUGUACAGACUUACUUACUUCUCUGUCUACUUUUCUUACUCCAUGUAGGUUUCCCAGAGACUAUGGGUUGAGGAGGAAGUGGAAGUUUGUCGGCUUAGACCUGGUGUCAUUCCAUCAGUGUUAAACUUCCCGGCUCAUCUUGGAAGAGUAUGUGCCAGAAAGACCACGACCAAGCAGCCUUGAGAUCUUAGGCAGCGUCUCCCUGAGGUCUCUCUCUAUCUCCCCACACAUCCACCAACCACAGGAACACAUCUCCAAAGUUCUGCCGGGCCAGCUCAGCUUCCCCUCAGAAGAAGUGCCGCCACCUGCCAGAUGAAGGAGCCUUUUGAGAGGCAGCUGGCAUCGUGAUUGGACUGUACUUUGGUCUGUUCCAAUCCAGCUUCAGCUCCAGAGACGGCAGGCGGGACGAGUCAACGGAGGCCGGGUGGACGAAGGCAUGCAGCUGAGUACAAUCCAGAAAACAAAAGAGGAAGAGUGCAGGACCAGAACAAACAGAGUAGCAUGUUGCUGUAAAAAGUCACUCCAUCCUCACCGACUUCAACACCUCUUCAUGAAAACUUGUCCUGCCUCCGACCUGGUGGAAACUCAAGAAACUCGGGAAAACCCGUCGAGACUCGAAGAACUCGUGGAGACUCGAAGAACUCGUCGGGCGGGGGAAGGUGUGGUGGGUGGU